rnacentral:rRNA from 1 species
GACGAACGCUGGCGGCGUGCUUAACACAUGCAAGUCGAACGGAAAGGCCCUGCUUUUGUGGGGUGCUCGAGUGGCGAACGGGUGAGUAACACGUGAGUAACCUGCCCUUGACUUUGGGAUAACUUCAGGAAACUGGGGCUAAUACCGGAUAGGAGCUCCUGCUGCAUGGUGGGGGUUGGAAAGUUUCGGCGGUUGGGGAUGGACUCGCGGCUUAUCAGCUUGUUGGUGGGGUAGUGGCUUACCAAGGCUUUGACGGGUAGCCGGCCUGAGAGGGUGACCGGCCACAUUGGGACUGAGAUACGGCCCAGACUCCUACGGGAGGCAGCAGUGGGGAAUAUUGCACAAUGGGCGGAAGCCUGAUGCAGCAACGCCGCGUGCGGGAUGACGGCCUUCGGGUUGUAAACCGCUUUCGCCUGUGACGAAGCGUGAGUGACGGUAAUGGGUAAAGAAGCACCGGCUAACUACGUGCCAGCAGCCGCGGUGAUACGUAGGGUGCGAGCGUUGUCCGGAUUUAUUGGGCGUAAAGGGCUCGUAGGUGGUUGAUCGCGUCGGAAGUGUAAUCUUGGGGCUUAACCCUGAGCGUGCUUUCGAUACGGGUUGACUUGAGGAAGGUAGGGGAGAAUGGAAUUCCUGGUGGAGCGGUGGAAUGCGCGGAUAUCAGGAGGAACACCAGUGGCGAAGGCGGUUCUCUGGGCCUUUCCUGACGCUGAGGAGCGAAAGCGUGGGGAGCGAACAGGCUUAGAUACCCUGGUAGUCCACGCUGUAAACGGUGGGUACUAGGUGUGAGGUCCAUUCCACGGGUUCCGUGCCGUAGCUAACGCUUUAAGUACCCCGCCUGGGGAGUACGGCCGCAAGGCUAAAACUCAAAGGAAUUGACGGGGCCCCGCACAAGCGGCGGAGCAUGCGGAUUAAUUCGAUGCAACGCGUAGAACCUUACCUGGGUUCGACAUGGAUCGGGAGCGCUCAGAGAUGGGUGUGCCUCUUUUGGGGUCGGUUCACAGGUGGUGCAUGGCUGUCGUCAGCUCGUGUCGUGAGAUGUUGGGUUAAGUCCCGCAACGAGCGCAACCCUUGUUCACUGUUGCCAGCACGUUAUGGUGGGGACUCAGUGGAGACCGCCGGGGUCAACUCGGAGGAAGGUGGGGAUGACGUCAAGUCAUCAUGCCCCUUAUGUCCAGGGCUUCACGCAUGCUACAAUGGCUGGUACAGAGAGUGGCGAGCCUGUGAGGGUGAGCGAAUCUCGGAAAGCCGGUCUCAGUUCGGAUUGGGGUCUGCAACUCGACCUCAUGAAGUCGGAGUCGCUAGUAAUCGCAGAUCAGCAACGCUGCGGUGAAUACGUUCCCGGGGCU